rnacentral:rRNA from 1 species
GGAAUAUUGCACAAUGGGCGAAAGCCUGAUGCAGCGACACCGCGUGCGGGAUGAAGGCCUUCGGGUUGUAAACCGCUUUCAGGAGGGACGAAAAUGACGGUACCUCCAGAAGAAGCCCCGGCCAACUACGUGCCAGCAGCCGCGGUAACACGUAGGGGGCGAACGUUGUCCGGAUUUAUUGGGCGUAAAGGGCUCGUAGGCGGUUCAGCAAGUCGGCCGUGAAAACCCGGGGCUCAACCCCGGGACGCCGGUCGAAACUGCUGUGACUAGGGUCCGGUAGAGGUCACUGGAAUUCUCGGUGUAGCGGUGAAAUGCGCAGAUAUCGAGAGGAACACCAGUAGCGAAGGCGGGUGACUGGGCCGGUACCGACGCUGAGGAGCGAAAGCGUGGGGAGCAAACAGGAUUAGAUACCCCCGUAGUCC